GACGAACGCUGGCGGCGUACCUAAUACAUGCAAGUCGAGCGCAGGAAACCGUCUGGACCCUUCGGGGGGAUGACGGCGGAAUGAGCGGCGGACGGGUGAGUAACACGUAAAGAACCUGCCCACGGGUCUGGGAUAACCACGAGAAAUCGGGGCUAAUACCGGACGGGUCAUCGGACCGCAUGGUCCGAGGAUGAAAGGCGCUCCGGCGUCGCCCGUGGCUGGCUUUGCGGUGCAUUAGCUAGUUGGUGGGGUAACGGCCCACCAAGGCGACGAUGCAUAGCCGACCUGGGAGGGUGAUCGGCCAAACUGGGACUGAGACACGGCCCAGACUCCUACGGGAGGCAGCAGUAGGGAAUCUUCCACAAUGGACGAAAGUCUGAUGGAGCAACGCCGCGUGAACGAUGAAGGCCCUCGGGUCGUAAAGUUCUGUUGUGAGGGAAGAACAAGUGCCGCAGGCAAUGGCGGCACCUUGACGGUACCUUGCGAGAAAGCCACGGCUAACUACGUGCCAGCCGCCGCGGUAAUAC
rnacentral:rRNA from 1 species